rnacentral:rRNA from 1 species
GACGAACGCUGGCGGCGUGCUUAACACAUGCAAGUCGAACGGAAAGGCUCUGCUUUUGUGGUGUGCUCGAGUGGCGAACGGGUGUGUAACCCGUGAGUAACCUGCCCUUUACUUUGGGAUAACUUCAGGUAACUGUGGCUAAUACCGGAUAGGAGCUCUUGCUGCUUGGUUGGUGUUGGAAAGUUUCGGCGGUUGGGGAUGGACUCGCGGCUUAUCAGCUUGUUGGUGGGGUAGUGGCUUACCAAGGCUUUGACGGGUAGCCGGCCUGGGAGGGUGACCGGCAACAUUGGGACUGAGAUACGGACCAGACUCAUACGGGAGGCAGAAGUGGGGAAUAUUGAAAAAGGGGAGGAAGCCUGAUGCAGAAACGCCGCGUGCGGGAUGACGGACUUCGGGUUGUAAACCGCUUUCGCCUGUGAAGAAGAGUGAGUGACGGUAAUGGGUAAAGAAGCACCGGCUAAAUAAGUG